rnacentral:rRNA from 1 species
UACGUAGGGUGCAAGCGUUAAUCGGAAUUACUGGGCGUAAAGCGUGCGCAGGCGGUUUUGUAAGACUGUCGUGAAAUCCCCGGGCUUAACCUGGGAAUGGCGAUGGUGACUGCAAGGCUAGAGUUUGGCAGAGGGGGGUAGAAUUCCACGUGUAGCAGUGAAAUGCGUAGAUAUGUGGAGGAACACCGAUGGUGAAGGCAGCCCCCUGGGUCAAAACUGACGCUCAUGCACGAAAGCGUGGGGAGCAAACAGG